GGACUUAAAAGAUCGAAGUGUUGGAAGAAUUAAAGAAAAAAGAUAUUUAACGAGCUUAGUUGAUACGAGAUAUUGCGCGACGAGUCGAUACCUUCCAUUUUUGCCAGACUUUUCUGAGAAUUUUUCUUUUAUCGAUGAAUGUUAUCUGUUUGAGUGAAUCUUUGAAAAAACAUCGAUCUUUGCAUCGACAAUUGUCACGUGUGUAUUCUUUCUUUCUUUGUGGAUAAAUUAUGAUAUAAUUUGCAAGUAGAAUCGAGCGCUUAAUUUGAUUUUACGGAUAAGCUUGAUAUUUUUAAGUAUCGAAUAUGAAGAAUGUAAUGGAACAAAUGGAAUUAAAGGAAAAGAUAAGUCCGAUUUUUAAAAUAAAAUUUCUAUCUUUCGAUGAUCUUUUUAUGAGAAGUUUCUAUAAGAAUAUUAUUCUAUUGAGAAGACAAUUUUUAAAUUUAUGCAAAUAAAUUUUUGAUUAAGUUUUCUAUUCGUAAUUGGAUAUCAAGAUUUAAUCAAAUCAUCUUUCAAUAAAUUGUUAAUUAAAGAAAAAUGCUUUAAACCUCUUCAAUUGUCAUAUUUGUAUGAUACCAAUCAUCUGAAAGAUCCUAUUAAAUUUAUAUAUUAUUAUUAUGAUUAUGUAAAAGAAGUUUUACAACUACAAUGUAACGAAUAUUUAGUAAUAUUAAUAUAAAUCAUAAUAAUUGGAUAAAGUAAAUUUCAAAAAAGAAUUUAAAAUCUAAUUUCAAAUAAAAAUCCAAUAAAUAGAAAGUUUUACGAUAAAUGAGUAUACUCAUUGUCUUGUGAAAGGAAACUAAUACGGAAUACAAUCUUCCCUUACUUGAGCUUCGAGUCCAGUCACGUUCAUGCACGGGGACAUAUUGAAACGAUUCCCAUCAGCACGACUCGGUCGAUAAGUGACGAAUAAGCGACGUCGCAAAGCGCUGAAUAUGCAAGCGCAAAUUAUCUAUACGGAUCGAUCCAAUCCUGUCGUUCCAUCUGGCCAGCAAGGAAAGAUUGCGAAUUCGUUUAACUGACGUUAACGAGCGACGAUAAAAUAUCAAUCUAGCCGGCAGUCACGCACGCAGCGCAGAGAUAUUAACGACAUAUUAGCACGUCAGAUCUUGAGGUAGCAGGACACGGGACAUUGCAAAUUUCCCGUUCCGGCGUCGAGUCCCACUUAGCGGGCCACCGAGGAUUUCCACGUCAGUUGUAACUAGAACGUGGCACGGUAGCAGGCAAACGACGGCGCACACAGGCUUUGUUCCUGUCAGGGCGGAGUCGUGUGUUGCAUACCACAGGUUUGCAGCACCUGUACAAGCUGUUUCUUUCGCCCUUUAAUGCGACAACAAAAUUCGAGCUUGGCUACGAUUUAUAGGAAAUCGAUAGAUUCUCUUCUUUCUCUCUCUUUUUGUAUCUCUCUCCUGAAAUUACUUUUCAUAAAUCAGAUAAAAGGAGUUGAGAAAAAUGGAAAAAUGGAACGCGCGAAAUUCAAAUGUUUUCGAAUUUUUAGUUAUAUUUAAUGAAAUAAUGAAAUAUUAUUAUUGUCGUAUUUGAAAUAAUUAAUUCAAAAUCUAUUAUCGAUAUAAAUUAAUUAUCGAAGUAACUAUUUUAAAUGCUUUAUUACGAAUAAAAUAUCGAAAGAUCGAUCGAUACGAAAUUUGGAGAAGUGAUAGAGGAAGGCGAAAUAUAAAAUUUUAGCUUUGAUUACUUAUUAAUUUCCAAAAUAUUAAUGAAAAAUUUUGUUAAUAUAUAUUCUUCUUACAUAUCUGAAUAUUUAUUGAAUUAGCUAGAUUUUUUAUUAUAAAUAUUUAUCAAAAAUUGAUACGUAAUAAUAUCUAAUUGAUAUCUAAUUGAUACUUGACUGAUAUCUUAUAAUUGAUACUAAUAAUUGAUAUCAAUUUGACUCAAUAUCAAUGACUCAUCUAUAUAGAGAUGUUAAAUCUCAA